AACAAACGCUGGCGGCGUGCCUAACACAUGCAAGUCGAACGAGAAAGUCGGUUUCGGCCGAUGAGUAAAGUGGCGCACGGGUGAGUAACGCGUGGAUAAUCUACCCUUUAGUCCGGAAUAACUUGCCGAAAGGUGAACUAAUACCGGAUGACAUCCCGGGUUCUCCGGAAACCGGGAUCAAAGAAGGCCUCUGCUUGCAAGCUUUUGCUGAAGGAUGAGUCCGCGUACCAUUAGCUAGUUGGUGGGGUAAUGGCCUACCAAGGUUAUGAUGGUUAGCUGGUCUGAGAGGAUGAUCAGCCACACUGGAACUGAAACACGGUCCAGACUCCUACGGGAGGCAGCAGUGAGGAAUAUUGCGCAAUGGGGGCAACCCUGACGCAGCAACGCCGCGUGAGUGAAGAAGGCCUCGGUUGUAAGACUCUUCGUCCGGAGGAAGUACGUGGUCUCUAACAUAGGCCAUGGAUGACGGUACCGGACGUAACGAAGACACCGGCUAACCUACGUGCC
rnacentral:rRNA from 1 species